UGCAGUCGACGGAGAUAAAGACUUCGGUUUUUAUCUUAGUGGCGGAGGGUGAGUAACACGUGAGCAACCUGCCUCUGAGAGAGGGAUAGCUUCUGGAAACGGAUGGUAAUACCUCAUAAUAUAGCGGUACCGCAUGAUACUGCUAUCAAAGAUUUAUCGCUCAGAGAUGGGCUCGCGUCUGAUUAGCUAGAUGGUGAGGUAACGGCUCACCAUGGCGACGAUCAGUAGCCGGACUGAGAGGUUGAACGGCCACAUUGGGACUGAGACACGGCCCAGACUCCUACGGGAGGCAGCAGUGGGGAAUAUUGCACAAUGGGCGCAAGCCUGAUGCAGCGAUGCCGCGUGGAGGAAGAAGGUUUUCGGAUUGUAAACUCCUGUCUUAAGGGACGAUAAUGACGGUACCUUAGGAGGAAGCUCCAGCUAACUACGUGCCAGCAGCCGCGGUAAUACGUAGGGAGCGAGCGUUGUCCGGAAUUACUGGGUGUAAAGGGAGCGUAGGCGGGAUUGCAAGUCAGAUGUGAAACUAUGGGCUUAACCAUAGACUGCAUUUGAAACUGUAGUUCUUGAGUGAAGUA
rnacentral:rRNA from 1 species